rnacentral:lncRNA from 1 species
UGCCGUCGUGUGAGUCACUUUCCGGUAGCCUAUCUCAGUCGGACUUACUCUUGCAGACUCGUCUUGCUCUGUUGACUUCAUCCCAGCCUGAUUCGUGACUUGUUCUUCUGUGCAUCUGUAUCUCGGUAUUUAUUUGUGUUACUAUCACUUUGCCAGCAGUUGGUUUUUCUUGCAACAAUCACUAAGUCAUGGUUGAUGGGAAUAAACCUGUUGAAAAAAAUUGAAACUAUUGAAACGAAAUUGGUUGCUUCUUUGGACAAUCCUUCUUUACAAAUUAGUUCAGUUAGGCUUGACAGUACUAACUACCUUGC